CCCUACUUCCCCGUUUUUGCGUGGAUAUUCAACUGGUAAAACUUCCAGAACCAUUAUGUGUUUUGGAUAAAGCCGAAAUGAUAAAAAAUUUGUGAAUAAUGUGUUAGAUGCUGAUCGACUUUGUGUGUAACUCAUACUAAGAGAUGCAAGCAACAAUAACAAGUCUCCUGAUGAAUGUUCCAGUCCGAGAGUUAAUAAUAAUAAGUUGGAAGCAAUGUGUCUGUAUAAGUUGUGGAAUAUCUUUGGGAAGGCAUACAAGAAGACAAAAUCACAGGCCAUAAGCUUAGGGAAAGAAAUGAAGAGUGACAUUAUAUAGAAAAACAAAAAUAUCUCCGAGACAGAUUCCUGAUGGAUGCUCAUGUAUGCGUUGCUUGCAGGAUGAGCUCACCUCAAAAGUAUUAAUAUCUAGUGAACAUAAGAGCUGUGUUAAGUGUGCCGUUCUGUUGCAUUGUAUGUAGUUAGUAGCUAUUUAUGUUCAUAAAUGUUGUUAAACUAUGAGCUUAAAUCACUUUAUAAUUUAUAUUAUCAUAUCAUUAAAUAGUUAAAUAAGCUAGUUAGGCACAUAACCCAUAUAUUUUAAUGUUAUUGUCAAGUUUAUUCUAUACCUACUUACUAAUAUGUUACCAUAUUAAGUUCCCUGACAUGAUUUAUGUUUUGACUAUGUACUAACAUCAGUAAGUAGUAACUGGGACCAGCAGCUUAACAUGCCAUUCGAAGCAUACUUCAGGCAAUCGGUUGAUCAGCCAGUCAUCUCCUAACCAAACUGGGGAUCACAAAGUAAUUUUUGUGGAUUUGAACCUAGGACCUCCAGAUGUGUUGACCCAACAGUCAGCCACUGGACCAUGGAGGCUGAGAGUACUUGGUUAAGUUGCUGUUUUAUUUCAACUAUUUAAUUAAAUGUAGAAAUAUUUUGUGUGGUUGCACCUACUUAUGAUAUUUUAAAUAUAUAAUAAAACAACUUAUUUCUAAAAAUA